rnacentral:rRNA from 1 species
CCCUUAGUAAUGGCGAAUGAAACGGGCAGAGCCCAGCACCGAACUGCCGGCCAUCUCGGUCGCGCGGAAUGUGGUGUUUGGGAGAGCCUCAUCGUUGUGAGCCGGGGCGUUCAAGUACGCCUUGACUGGGACCACGGCCCAUAGAGGGUGAUAGGCCCGUAAGACCCCUGGCUCGCUGCGCUGGCUCCUCCCUAGAGUCGAGUUGUUUGGGAGUACAGCUCAAAGUGCCUGGUACACUCCAGGUAAGGCUAAAUAUAACCCCGAGACCGAUAGCGAACAAGUACCGUGAGGGAAAGUUGAAAAGCACUUUGAAGAGAGAGUUCAAGAGUACGUGAAACUGUGUAGUAGUAAACGAAGGGGACCUCGAAGUCGGCGGCGACGGUUCAGGGUGAUGGCGGGGUGGCCUGGAGGCUUGGGAUCCGCAAGGACUCAGUCUCUUUGUUGGCCUCGUCAGCGCCUGCACUCCGUUGCCGCCUCACGCGACGAACCGUUGUUGGCGGAUCAAGGCCUUGGGUGAAGUUUGGCGGUUCUUCGGAGCUGCCAAG